rnacentral:sRNA from 2 species
UGCAUCGUCAUUGGGGAGUAGCCGGUUUCUGGUCAAUCAGCCAGAAACGCCCGUAUCAACAUACUCGUUUCACCUUAAGAAACGUGGUGCGGGCAGCCAGCCAGGUUGGCGAGACCAUAGACACGUAAUUCCGUCGUAAGGUUGGGGAUGGGUUACGUGUGUAUGGAGCCGCCCAGCCGAGGCU